UCCAAAAGCAGACGUGCAGAACACUGCUCCUCUUUUUGAAUCUUGGAUUACAAGCUGAGAAGACUCCAUAAAGCUAAAAGGGAAAUAACAAGGUGCGCGGGGCUUGUUGAGAGCCAUUCCUGGUUAAAUGAAGCAUCCUUUUCUUUCCCUGCUGCAGAGACUUGUAAGAAAAGAAGACUUCCUCAUGAUCUCUGCUUAUCAUCCCUGAAACAUUCGUUCCCUUUUCAGGUGAGUAUAGUACUUUGCUUUGAUCCACUCUGAGCAGAGCUAUUGAUUCUCUGAAAACCUGCGUCAUUAAGGCAUUAAGACAAAGAACCUUUUUGCUAUCUGCCAAAGUAAAAAAAAAAAAAUCAUUAAAAUAUUGACAGGAAGAAGUCUCUGACUGUCCAAGAUCGCUGCCAGGACCAGCGUGCCAGGGAUGGUCAGCUGCUGUUCCAAAGGAUUGCAGGAUGCACCUUCUAGAGUCUUAUACAAGUUACUGUUUGUUGUAUGCUGUGUUUUGUUUAUCAGCAAAUUUUACAGAUAUUUAAAAGUCCGUCUGUUAUGCAUUUUGAUUUGAUGACAAUUUUUAAAAUGUGCUGACACUUCCCUGAGCUUUGUUCUAGAGUUGGGGUGUAAUAUGAUUGCUGGGGUCCA